rnacentral:rRNA from 1 species
UACGAAGGGGGCUAGCGUUGUUCGGAAUUACUGGGCGUAACGCGCGCGCAGGCGGUCUUCCAAGUCAGUGGUGAAAGCCCGGAGCUCAACUCCGGAACUGCCAUUGAAACUGUUAGACUUGAGGAUGAGAGAGGUGAGUGGAAUUCCCAGUGUAGAGGUGAAAUUCGUAGAUAUUAGGAAGAACACCGGUGGCGAAGGCGGCUCACUGGCUCAUUACUGACGCUCAGGCGCGAUAGCGUGGGGAUCAAACAGG